UGCUGAUUGUCCUAUAGAUAGGACAAAAGAAGGUAGUAAGAUAAAGAAGUGAUCAGGUGAGCUGUUCCUGCCUGAACGGCAGAAGAACUGAGAAGGGGAGGGCAGUGGCAUUUAUAGGGGCCACAUGUUUGAAGAGGGUAAGGAAGAGCCCGCAGAGGUGCAAUCACACAGCGGCAUGAAAGUGAAGAGGCACAGGAGUGGGGCAGGCAGCCUCCUCCCCCGGGGAGACGAAGUGAGUUAAGAGAGUACUAAAGGCUUUCCACCUUGCAGUACAGUGCUGCUCCUGAUGAUCGGAACCAUGUCUUCCACCUGCCUUGAUCAGUUAUCCGAAGUAGUCACUCCUAAAGUAUAUCUGAUGGAACACAAGACGGACUUUCGAUACAGAAGACUAUCACUGAAAAAUAGAUACUUUUGACUGCCUAUCUGGACUAUAUUCUUCAAGUGAGCACAUCAACCACUGACUGCUUCUUUAAAGUUAAUUAAUCUUUAAAGUAUCCCAAGAGAAGGAAGAGAGAAGAAAAGAAACAGAAAAAACAUGAGGGAACCAACUUCAGACAAAUAUAAAAUUGUUCUCGUAAAAAGCUAAUUAUGUUCCCUUUGCAAGGAAAGGAAAGAAAGCUUAGAUAGAGAAAAAAUCAAUUUUAGAUAUAUACACACAAAAGAGAGUGAUAUGUAGUUGGUUAUGACAAAACUUGACUCCUUGACAACUUUAUCAAGCCAUAAAUCAAAGCAUGAGGUCUCAUUAAUUCUUGAAGUAUGAAAACAAAGAAGGCGAUGUUUCUACCAUUAAACAGAAUAUUCUCUCUUUUGGACAAACGAGUCAAUUUCCUUAAGAAAGUUUCUUUCUUCUUUUUGUUCUAAGGCACUUCUCAAAUGAACAGCCUCACUCAUGUCAAAAUUUCCCCAAAUUGGCCACUGCAUUCCAAACUGUCCCUAGUGAAACUGUGCCAGUAAGAAAGUUAAGGGUAUAAAUUAGCAUGUAAAAAGAAAACACGAAGGCAGCAGGUGUGUCAUUUGGAAGAGGCUCAGUUUUAUAUUGAGAAAAACCUCUGAGGAUGGAAUGGUUUAUAAGAAUAAGGCUUACUAGCUUUGUGUCUCUGGAACUUGGCUAAAGGCCAAUGGUUGCUAAUCCAGAGCUGAACAGAAUCUCUCGAUUUGGUACAGAUAGAAUGAAACAGUGCAAAUCUGUGACUAUACUAAAACCAUCAGGACACCCAGGUGGCUCAGUGGCUGAGCAUCUGCCUUUGGCUUAGGUCGUGAUCCUGGAGUCCUGGGAUCAAGUUUUGCAAGGGGUUCCCACUAGGGAGCCUGCUUCUCCCUCUGCCUAUGUUGCUGCCUCUCUCUGUGUAUCUCUCAUGAAUGAAUAAAGAAAAUCUUUAAAAAAAAAAAAAAAGCUAAAAAGCAUUGAUUUGUA